GAUGAAGAACGCAGCGAAAUGCGAUAAGUAAUGCGAAUUGCAGAAUCCGUGAGUCAUCGAAUCUUUGAACGCACAUUGCGCCCCUUGGUUAUUCCGAAGGGCAUGCCUGUUCGAGCGUCAUUAUCACCCCUCAAGCCCCGGCUUGGUGUUGGACGGUUUUGGUGGGGACGUGCAGCCUCUCACCCCUCCUAAAGACAAUGACGGCGGCGUCGUUGGGACCCCCGGUACACUGAGCUUCUUAACUGAGCACGUACUGGACGCGGGUACGCGACGCACGGUCUGCCUCCCCUUUAAGGGAGAACUUUUUCUUAAGGUUGACCUCGGAUCAGGUAGGAAUACCCGCUGAACUUAAGCAUAUCAAUAAGCGGAGGA
rnacentral:misc_RNA from 1 species